rnacentral:lncRNA from 1 species
AUGGUUGACGUCACCUGCAAGGGGGGGGAUGCAAAGGGGGGGGUCAGGGGGAUCCUGGGAGAAUUUGGGGACCCCAAAAGGGGGUCAGGACCCCCUGGGUCAGUCCUUGUGUCCUCAGCAGCAGCCUCAGCCGAACGAGAUUCGUCAGGUCAUCACCCCCGGGGGAAGGGGCUCACCCCAUCCGGGACCCCCGGGGGGCAGAAGGGGAUUGAAUCCUGGAAUGGAAAUAGAGGAGGGGUCAUUGUGUGCCCUGGACACCCCAAAAUCCCCCCCAGAACCCCAAACCAGCCCCUCCGAGGCCCCCUCAGACCGUCCCCGCUGGGACCGCUCGUCCUCUCUUCCCCCCGGGGGCUCCAGGGGGUUCCACCUUUGCAGGUCCUGGGCCCGGCGGGGGGGUCAGACGGGUGGGGGUUUCCUCAUGGGGGGCCCGGGACCCCCAAAAACCCCAGCCCAGGGACCCCCAGAACUCACCAGGCCUCAGGGGAUCCCCAGCUCCCGCGGCUGUGGAGGAAAUUUGGGGUUCAGGAGGAGCCCAGACCCCCGCGGGUGGGGGGUGUAGCCCCCUCCCCAAAUCCGAUCAGGGCUUUGGUAACUCGGAGCUGCCAUCGGACGCGUCCUCCAGCCCGGGGUGUCAUCGCUUCGGACUGGGGGGGCUUGGGGGGACACUCUGGGGGGGUUUAGGGGGUGGCACUGACCUGAGCUGGGGUCAUUGUGGUCACUUCAGGGUGCCCUGAAGGUCACCCCGGGCUGAGGUUUCCCCCACGCUACAAAACACGGAUAAUUUACUUAUUAUUAUAUAUAAUUAACAUACAAUUAAUAUAUUAUGUGAUGUAUUUAUUGCAGGAAUUGCUGCUCUCAGCGGUCUCGUGGCAUCAGGGACCCUCAGCCAUAUGCUUGUCAUUGUUACUCCUCACCGAACAGCGAGAAAAGAGGGGACACCCCAAAAUCUGCACCCCUGGCGGGGGAGAACACCCCAAAAUCUGCACCCCCGGGGUGGCCUGAGGGAGGGAAUUCCAAGAGAAAAUCCCGUGUUUUUCCCAGGAACAAAAAAAAAAAGUGUCAUAAAGAGUGGGCUCACCUGGGGAGGGGCCACGGGGAACCCGCGGGUGAGGAUUCCAUGCUAUGAAAAUAAGGGAAAAAAGGGUUAAAAUGGCGAUUUGGGGACAAAGUUUGCACUUUGAAACACUUUAAGUGCCACGAGGGAUUAAAAUCCCGUGGGUCUCGCGCGGAUCUGAGCUCUACACGUGGUUUAAGCCCCCCCCAAAAGGGGUUAACCCAGUUUUUACCCCCGCAAAAGGGCGUUAAACUGGGUUUUAACCCCCCCAUGUGGGUCUGAUCCAUUCCAUGAAGAUUUUAAAUCCUCCCACAGGGAUGUGGACCCCCCUCGUGGGUCAGUGCCACUCAGAACUUGUUCCAGAAGUUUCUCCACUGACCCAUCAGCAAGAGAGAGUUCAGGGUGAUCAUCCCCGCAGCACUGCUGCCCAAUCUGCCCUAAAAUCCACCUUUCUAAACCCAAAAAGGCUGGUGGGAGACUCACCUCCGAGAGAAGCAUCGUUUUUCGGGAAUGAAUACUAAAAAGGAAACAAAAAAGGCGUUAAGAGACUAUGAUGUGACCAUCAUGGUGCAGCCAACCCCCAGGGCGGAGUAGGACUAGCCCUCAGAGAACUCUAAAUUCUUCACC